ensembl:lncRNA
UUACAAGGGGUUAUUACUGAUGUAGUUUGUGUUAUAGAAUAAAAUGUGUAAACCACACACCUUAUUUCAGACAUUUAAUCAAAAAACCUAUUCAUAAAAAUUUUGUCUUUAGAACCAUGGAACCGGAAGUGCUAAAAUGCACUAUGUUUGCAGGUUUUGGCCUACUAAAUAUGUAAUCUCUGCAGCACUCUAUGAAAACAAGGCUUUAAGGGAUAGAAGUACAGUGCGUUCAUAGGAUUGCAUUGCUGUUGAACAUCAUGCCGAUUGGAAAAACUUUUUUGGAAAACUUUCAGCAAAUAUAUAACAGUUUGAAAAUUUUUGAGUUGUGAAAAUUACAUAUCGAGAACUUUUAUAAAGUUGUAAAGACUAAGUAUAUUCCUCACAGCCUCAUUUUCAUCCAUGUAAAAUUCAAUAUGGUAUCUAACCUGACUAAGGUCUAUAUGAUUUCGUUUCAUUCCACACUCAAACUCACAUUCACAAUGAGUUGUAUUGUUCAUCUAUAUUUUCUGUUUUUAUAUACACUAUUAUUUUAAUCCAUCACCAUGUUUGUCUGAAUAAUUAUUUGUUUGCAUUAUUGUAGCUAUUGUAUCAUCUAUGUUUUUAAAUAAUAUUGGAUUAUAUAAUUAAAUAGGAUUAUACUGUACUUGAAGUUGCACUUUAGAUGAAAACUAUUAGCUUCAGCGCUUUAGCCAAGAGUGCACAGAUUGUCUUUUAAGGUCGACGUGAAAUGUAAAAGGACCUGAUUUACUUUCUUAAAACAUGCUUCUGGUCUUAUAGUGCACAAUUCAUCACGUUAUUCCAAAGGAUGAAAAUGUUUGUUUUCGAAAUCUCAAAUUACAAUAUAUAUAAAUAAAAACUUGCUCUGCUUCUAAAAUUAUUUUAACCAAGCCAAGCCAAUUUUUAAAAAUGAAACCAACAACAAACAUUGUUUUAGGCCAAUUUUGUUGGUAAUGUGUUUAUAAAAUCUUUCAAAUGAGGCAAUUUAAUGCUGAUUAAUAAAGUUUACAGCAAUAAUAGCAAAUAAUAAUAUGAAAUACUUAAUAUAACAUCACAGAUUUUUAGAAACUGGAUAUUUAAUUUUAUUUAACUAUACUUAAGGUGGACUCAUCAGUGGCUUGUUCUAUUCUAACAUUGUAUGCGAUUUUAGAGCAACUAAUCAAAAGGUCACUGCUUUUCCUUUAAUGACCUUGAACUGUCAUCAAAGCGGUUUUCUAAUCUAAACUCAAUUAUUUUGCAUAUAGAUCAUAUGGGCCAUUCAUUUCUUAGAAAUGUCAAAUGUGCUUGUUGUUGCUACUUUUAGCACAUAGAAAAUAUAAUCUAAGCAAUAUGUCGAUAUGUUAUUGUAUUAACAUCCUAGUUUCACAUAGUUGCGUACAUACUACAAUAUCAAUAUCCCGUCAUUUGGUGCUUGUCAUGUCAUGUUUAUGAAAACAAGUUUAAUAUUGUUUGCUGGGUGCCUUAGAUUGCUACUAAUGUUUGUUCCAAAAUGUACAAAUUGCACAUUGCAUGAUAGAGUGUAAUACCCCUCCCCCCCUCCCAUCCCUGCUAAUGUAACUCUACCUCAGAAGGUUGAGUCAUUGUAGGUUUUUCCCAUCUCCUUCAUCUCCUCAAGAAAAAAAAAUGUUGCCCCUUCUCAGCAAAGUUGUCAGUUCGGAUCAUCUUCAUCCAAGCCUCUCUUUCUAUUUGGGAAUGAAGCUGCAUAAUAUGUCCACCUAGGGGCAAAGAAAGUAUUUGACAAGUGGUUGGGCGGAGGGCACACAUUAAAGCUAAGAACUGUGUGUUUGUGUGCAUGUUUGGGCAUAGAAAUAUUCAAAAUUCAGUUAAAUAAUCAUUCUUUUUGCCACUUUAUCCACUGCUGUGCUUCUGCAGUUGAAGGGAGGGAAUUUAGAUUAUAGAAUAUAUAAAUUCUGCUUAAUUGAAGAAUCUUGACAUGAACUCCCUUCUAUUCUCGAAACAUUUCUUGCUGAAUUGAUAGUUUAAACAUUCAUUUGAAGGCUCCUGUUAAAUGCCAUUCUUAAAAGAUGUAUUUUUAAACUAUUUUAUUGUAUUUUGCGAUCAUAAUCAACUUAUGUCCCAGCUGUCUGUUCAAUAAAUACAUGAUGUUAAAUAUGUAUUAAAAUCGUUUUUGUUGAUAAGCC